AAUCACCAAUCACUAAGUCUUGUCCCAGUUUCCUUGAGGUUUAAAUGGGACAUUUUUUCCACCAGAGGUUUUGACCCCCAGCAAGAAUUCUGGCAGUUUAUAGCCCCUUGGCGUGAGUGGGUCCCCCCAACCCCUUCUGUUCUGUCCCUUCUUCCCAGUCCCUCCCCUGCUUCCCUUCUCCCCUAUCCUCUGCACUAAACUGUAACGAGCAGUAGGCCUCUGAAAGCCUGGAACUGCCAUCCCCCAAUCAAAAGACAGCAGCUUUGCCCUCUCAGAGGAAGGUACCUAACCAGGCAUCAAGCAUCUCCUUGAAUUUUCCUAAUCAAAUUGUAGACAGGCAUCACCUUCCCCCUUCUCUUUCCUGCCCAGCACACACCCUCUCAGUAGCAGAGGCUUAGUCUCCACCUCCCCACUGAGCACUGUUUUUGCCUCCCUUGAAGCAGCAGCUGCUACGGAGAGAGCCCGGCCUUGCAGUCUAGACCUGGACUCCAGGCCCAGCCUUGCCACUCACAGUGGCAACUUUGUGGGUCUGUUUCCUCCCUUGCAAAAUGAUUCCAUAUAAAACAGAUUCUGGGUCUGAUCACCGUGACUGCAUGCCACUAGCCUGCCUCAUCCUCUUAUCCCUCCUCCUUUUCUAUAGCACCAGCCGGCCACGGGCCAUGGCUAUCCUUGGAACAGAGGGUCGAGGCUCCUUCUCCUGCCCUAAAACCAAGACUGAUGGGAGCCCCAAGAGCACUAGCUCUCCGGUAACCACCUACCACCUGCAGCGGGCACUGCCUGGGGGCAUCAUCCUCAUGGAACUGGCAUUCCAGGGCUGUUACUUCUGUGUCAAACAGUUUGCCCUGGAAUGUUCCCGAAUCCCAAUGGGGCAGGCUGUCAACUCACAGCUGUCCAUGCUGUUCACAGAGGAGUGUGACAAGGUGCGGGACCUGAUGCACGUGCACUCGUUCAGCUAUGACUUCCAUCUGCGCCUCGUGCAUCAGCACGUGCUAGGUGCCCACCUGGUGCUGCGGCACGGCUACCACCUCACCACCUUCCUGCGACACUUCCUGGCCCACCACCCUGACGGACCCCACUUUGGCCGCAAUCACAUUUACCAAGGGACAUUGGAGCUCCCCACACCACUCAUUGCUGCCCACCAGCUGUACAACUACGUGGCUGAUCACGCCAGCUCUUACCACAUGAAGCCAUUGCGAAUGGCCCGGCCAGGGGGCCCAGAACACAACGAGUAUGCCCUGGUGUCGGCAUGGCACAGUUCUGGCUCCUACCUGGACUCUGAGGGACUUCGCCACCAGGAUGACUUUGAUGUAUCUCUGCUUGUCUGUCACUGUGCUGCACCCUUUGAGGAGCAAGGAGAGGCUGAGCGGCACGUUCUGCGGCUACAGUUCUUCGUGGUGCUCACCAGCCAGCGAGAGCUCUUCCCCAGGCUCACUGCUGACAUGCGCCGCUUCCGGAAGCCACCCAGACUGCCCCCUGAGCCAGAGGCUCCUGGGAGUUCAGCUGGCAGCCCUGGGGAGGCCUCAGGGCUUGUUCUAGCGCCUGGACCGGCUCCUCUCUUCCCACCACUGGCUGCAGAGGUGGGCAUGGCACGAGCACGGCUGGCUCAGCUGGUGCGGCUGGCUGGAGGGCACUGCCGUCGGGACACCCUUUGGAAGCGCCUCUUCUUGCUGGAGCCACCAGGGCCUGAUCGACUGCGGCUAGGGGGGCGCCUGGCCCUGGCAGAGCUGGAGGAACUCCUAGAAGCAGUCCAUGCCAAAUCCAUUGGGGACAUCGACCCCCAGCUGGACUGCUUCCUAUCCAUGACGGUCUCCUGGUACCAGAGCCUGAUCAAAGUUCUCCUAAGCCGCUUCCCCCAGAGCUGUCGCCAUUUCCAAAGCCCAGACUUGGGAACUCAGUACCUGGUUGUGCUGAAUCAGAAGUUCACUGACUGCUUUGUGCUAGUGUUUCUGGACUCCCACUUAGGAAAGACGUCUCUGACAGUGGUUUUCCGAGAGCCCUUCCCAGUACAGCCCCAGGACAGCGAGAGCCCCCCUGCCCAACUGGUCUCCACCUACCACCACCUGGAGUCUGUCAUCAACACAGCCUGUUUCACCCUCUGGACCCGCCUCCUCUGAGGGAGUGGACUGGACCACUGAAUGUCACUGUUCCUUGAAUCAUGGGCCUACCAGAUUGCCUGCCAGAGGCAGGACUGACCAGCCCUUCUGGGCCCCAGGGCAAGCCAGACACUGAGUGACACCAAAGGCUUUGUAACUAUGUCUUGAGGGUCUGCUGCACCAGCCUGGCAGCAGGAACCGCCCUCCCCAAACACCCACAGCCACUGACCCAUCCAGGACUCCAGAGAGUCAGGUCAACCCCGAGGACCCCUUGGGCCCUUCUGGGGUACUCCUUUCGGCCCCCCUGGUAGAGUCUCGGGAGUUCACAUGGGGUGGCAAACACCCCCUAGAGCUCCUCUGCCUGAAUCCUGCCCCCUAGCCUUUGACCACUGUCAGCCACCUGUGUCCCUUGAGCCUUCGGGUCUUCACUUCCCACUUGGACAUCACUGCUGGACAUUCCCAUCGAGAUGACACCUGGGUUCCAAUCCCAGCUCUGCCUUUGAAGCACUUGUGGCCACCGUCAAGUCCCUUUGCUCUCGGACCCUGGGUUUCUCAUCCUUUAAUGAGGUGGGUUCAGAAGCUCUCCCAUCUUCACAGCAACCCUGGCACUGGCUUCUCAAUUGGAGGGAAGCAGCAGAGAAACUGAAGUGUUAGACACUAUGUGUCCCACCACCCCAUUACAGAGACAUAUGACAAUGUUCAGCAGGUCAUCUUUAAUGCAGAGGAGGAGAUGGGAUGCCACUCGCUGUCUGGAGGCACGUGGGUGGUGUGCAGGCCCUCACUGGCCAGCCUCUGGGUGGCCCCGCCUAUCCCAAUAUGAACGUAGCCAACUCAAGCCCUCUACUGUGUCUCCUGCAGGGAGAGGGAGGCCUCGGCACCUUAGCCCACAAGGAGAAAACAGCCCCUGUCCGGGUCCCUCCAGAGCUCCCUUCCCCAGGGCCACGCCUCACCUCGAGGCUGAUACUCGCAGCCCACGAAGCCUUUGUAGCCUUCAUCUUCCAGCAGUUGAAACAGAUAGGGGAAAUUCAGCUCUCCGGGGCUGCUGGGCUCCCCUCGGCCUGGGACCUGUGCCACCUGCACAUGCCCUGGGGACAGAUGUGGACAAAUGUGGGGUCCAGGCUCCUGCCAGGGCCUGAAGGACAGAUGUGGGGAUUGAAAGGGUGGGAGGGCAAAGGAAGGUCCUCUCACCAACAAUGGGCAGGAACUCCCGGAUGUUUCCUGUCAGGUUCCCAUCCAUGAUCUGCCAGUGGAAUAUGUCCUAGGGAAGAGGAUACUACAUUCCGAGACCCCGCAGGCCCCGCCCUCCUUCCGAUCUGCGAAGUACCCCCUUCCACUUACCAUUUGUAAUUGGAGGUUGGGUCUUCCUACCUUCUGUAAGAUGGCUGCCGCUGUAAGAGAAGCCAGGGAGGGGACCGUGAGCCUCAAGAGCACAGGAAUCAAAAGGGACAGAAGGAGAGACAGGGCUGGGGUCGUACCCUGCUGGGGCGUGUCCAGGAAGUACUGGGGGUCAGUGAUGCGGGUGUUGAUGGGCUCCAGCAGUCCCACGAGGUCCUCCUAGCAGCAUGUCGGGUGCUGUGAAUAGAGCUCCUUCCCAAGUUUGUCCCCCAUCAGUCAGUCACUGGUCAAGGCCCUCACCUGUUCCUCUGACCUAGGCUGGCAGCCUCACGUGCUGUCCCCACUGUGCACCCCCUUCUCCGCACACCCACAGAGACAUGUAAGUACGUGUGUGUUUCCACCUUUCUCACCUGAGCCAAAACCCCAGCUGCAUGCCUCAGGUUCUCCAGAAAAACGGCCUCCAUCUCAGCCUUGACUGCUAUUCGAUCAGCCCCCUGGGGUACUCGGCCAGCCAUCAGGUGGAUCCUGUGGGGAAGAUGGACUGGAGGCCUUGCCUCCCUUGGCUCUCUCUGCACCUCUUCCAGGAUUCCCUGACUGUGCCAGCCCUCGUCCGUCUCCCCAGGUCUCCAGUCCAUGGCACCUGGGUCACGAUGCCCAGGUAUCCCAGCACUUUCAGAGACACUUCAGUGAUGGCCGAGGGGCAAGCCCUUUCCCAGACAUCUCAGUGUCCACCCACCGCCUCCUGCCUCCAGUACUUUCCAAAACCUUUCCUUCCCUCAGUCCUUCUCCUCAACCUGUAACCUGCUAAAUUCUCACCUUUAAAAAUUGUCCUGACCUUUGCUUGCCCUUCUCAGGU
rnacentral:sRNA from 1 species